rnacentral:rRNA from 1 species
AACGUAGGAGACAAACGUUAUCCGGAGUUACUGGGCGUAAAGGGCGUGUAGGCGGUUUGUUAAGUCUGGCGUGAAAGCUCUCGGCUAAACCGGGAGAGGUCGUUGGAUACUGGCAGACUAGAGGACGGUAGAGGCGUGUGGAAUUCCGGGUGUAGUGGUGAAAUGCGUAGAGAUCCGGAGGAACACCAGUGGCGAAGGCGACACGCUGGGCCGUACCUGACGCUAAAGCGCGACAGCAUGGGGAGCAAACAGG